UGGUAAUGGUGGAGGAAUCUUUUGGCUCCGUCAGUAGGUGGCUAAAAUCAAGUUGUCCCUCAGCCGCCAGAUGACGCGAGUGUCCUGGAGAGGACGAAAUUUUCGCCAUUUUGUUCCGAAACGCCAAGUGAAAAGGUAUCCCAAAUUCGUUACGGAAUUGCGGUGUCGAUCUACAUUUUCAGCAUUGAAAUUUAAUGGUCUAGCAUAUAAUUUCCACUUGGUUGGUGCCUUGGUGGGGAACAUUCGAUCACGUGGGCUGAAAAAAUCUGCUUUCCAUUUUGCCAAAACGUCGUCCGUUGUUAGCUGUACGGAAGUACGUCUCAUCUCACGCAGAAACAAUACAGAGUUGGUGUUCAGGUUGGAGAUCCCGUUGCUUAACUGUUGCAGAAUGUGAGAACUCAACAAAUUCUGAGCUCCAUGGCUGGCAUCAUUCAGUGGUUUUUUUGCAGCCAGCUGGUUAAAGGCGUGAUAAAGUCAAGUUGAGCUGCAGCUGCUGCAUGCAGUUUUUCGAGCUGGUGUUAUCCUGAAGUGUCAUUGCAGGAAGACUUUUUGAAAUGGACUUGGUGAAACUAUGCUGUUCAAUGUGCAGUGGUUUUGCAGCCUAUUUCCAGUUGAGAGAUGUGAUUAUGCAGCUGAUACACGAUUGAAGAAAAAGAACUGAAGUAGCUGUGCUGGUGUUCUCCUGAAAUUGCUGUGCCAUAGGAGUUGCAGAUACUGUUGGUUCCUCAUAGAAGUUUAUUUAAAGAGUCUGGAGAUGAUCAGUCACUGCCUAUAACUUAUGUAAAACCUCAUUGAAAUAAAUAUAAAAGUGAAGUGCUGAA